AAAAAAUUUUUGAAGUAAAUAAUCUGAAAGAUUGAUUAUUUUAAUUAUUUAUGUAGUAAUUUCCUUAAUGAUAUGCUGCAAUUUGUUUACAAUUAAAAAGCUAUUUGUAAGUGACAGAAUUUUUUUAAUAUAAAAUUUUCACAUCUAAUUUAAAAAUCUAUUAUGCUUUAUUGAAUUUCAAUACACCUCUAUUAAAACACUUAAGUUUAAUAAUUUUCAAAUAUUUCUUGAAAAUGUUUUUUUUGUAAUAUAUGCUCUUACAAUUAUAAAUUCAAUGCAGGCUGCAAAAAUAGGCAUUGCAGAUCAUAAGUUUGAGACUGCAGGGAUAGAUGCAAUCACUAUUGUCCAUCUAGCUCUGGGAGCUGUUAAUUCAGAACUUUUGUUAAAAAAAUUAUUUUUCAAACUUUCACAAAAUUUAGGUUAUGUAAAAAAAAACUUUCAUCCCAGCUAUUUGUGUAAGGUGGGAUACUUGUAUUUGUGUUUAAUGAAAUAUGCAUAACAAGUUAAACUAUAUUUGCUUAAAUUUCAUUAAAGUAGUAGUUUAUUUAAUUAACUCUAUUUAAAAAAUAGUCAUAAAUUUUAUAUCUUUCUUUAAAAGUAUAUUUUGUUAAUAUUAGAAAAAAAUUUAAUUGAAAAUAUAUUUAUUCAAUUGUGAGAAACAAUGUAAAACUAUUUAUUUUAUAUUAGAAUUUCAG
rnacentral:lncRNA from 1 species